rnacentral:rRNA from 1 species
CGAAGGGGGCUAGCGUUGCUCGGAAUCACUGGGCGCAAAGCGCACGUAGGCGGCUUCUUAAGUCAGGGGUGAAAUCCUGGAGCUCAACUCCAGAACUGCCUUUGAUACUGGGAAGCUUGAGUCCGGGAGAGGUGAGUGGAACUCCGAGUGUAGAGGUGAAAUUCGUAGAUAUUCGGAAGAACACCAGUGGCGAAGGCGGCUCACUGGCCCGGUACUGACGCAGAGGUGCGAAAGCGUGGGGAGCAAACAGGAUUAGAUACCCUGGUAGUCCACGCCGUAAACGAUGGAUGCUAGCCGUUGGCAGGUUUACCUGGCAGUGGCGCAGCUAACGCAUUAAGCAUCCCGCCUGGGGAUACGGUCGCAAGAUUA